rnacentral:rRNA from 1 species
GCAAGUCGAGCGGCAGCACAAGUGAGUUUACUCAUGAGGUGGCGAGCGGCGGACGGGUGAGUAAUGCCUAGGGAUCUGCCCAGUCGAGGGGGAUAACAGUUGGAAACGACUGCUAAUACCGCAUACGCCCUACGGGGGAAAGAGGGGGACCUUCGGGCCUCUCGCGAUUGGAUGAACCUAGGUGGGAUUAGCUAGUUGGUGAGGUAAUGGCUCACCAAGGCGACGAUCCCUAGCUGUUCUGAGAGGAUGAUC